rnacentral:rRNA from 1 species
CUGCAGCCCAAGUGGUGAUCGAUAUUAUUGAGCCUAAAGCGUCCGUAGCCGGUUUGGUAAAUCUUCGGGUAAAUCGAGCAGCUUAACUGUUCGAAUUCCGGAGAGACUGCUAGACUUGGGACCGGGAGAGGUCAGAGGUACUCCAGGGGUAGGGGCUAAAUCCUGUAAUCCUUGGAGGACCACCAGUGGCGAAGGCGUCUGACUAGAACGGAUCCGACGGUAAGGGACGAAACCCUGGGGCGCAAACCGGAUUAGAUACCCGAGUAGUCC